CAGCCGCCGCGGUAAUACGGAGGGUGCAAGCGUUAAUCGGAAUUACUGGGCGUAAAGCGCACGCAGGCGGUUUGUUAAGUCAGAUGUGAAAUCCCCGAGCUUAACUUGGGAACUGCAUUUGAAACUGGCAAGCUAGAGUCUUGUAGAGGGGGGUAGAAUUCCAGGUGUAGCGGUGAAAUGCGUAGAGAUCUGGAGGAAUACCAGUGGCGAAGGCGGCUACCUGGACUGAGACUGACACUGAGGCGCGAGAGCGUGGGGAGCAAACAGGAUUAGAUACCCCGGUAGUCCCUGUCUCUUAUAC
rnacentral:rRNA from 1 species